ACCAAAAAAACAAAAAACAGGUUUUGUAAACUAAGUUAUUCUAUCUACAUUACUUUACAAUCUGUCAAGUUGAUCACAUGAUAAUUGAAUGAAAGAGGCAAAUCAUUUAUUAAGAAAUGUGCCUAAAGCUUUUUGUUUAACAGGAACUAAAAUUUAUUGAUUACAGGGAGUUCAAAUUCAACCUUGGGCAUCUCAUCAUUUUCAUUACUUAGGAUGGACUUUGCAAAAAGCUGGGAAAGCCAAGUGUGUAUAGGUAAUAGGAUUGAACCACUGUUUCAGAGAAAAAUGAAUGUAUUCAUCUUUUGAAUAUGUGCAGAAUUCUGUUUUCUUCUGUUUACUUGCAUAUUUCCUGCAUGUCAUUCUGAUGCAGUGAACCUUAUGAUGUAGUGAAGAGACUGCGUACUGUGUAAGAAUGUCAGAAUCCACAGUGUAUAUUUAUCUAGAUCCAAACUUUACCAUCUGCCCUUGUGUUAUUGGAGAUGCAGGGAACUUCUGUUAAAUGGAUAACUGUUCUGUGGCUAACACUAUUGUAAUUACAACAUAGCUGAAAAAUACUGUUCCUGGAUUUGUUUAAUCCUGGAGUUAAACUGACCUAUUAGGAAAAUGCCAAAUGCCUGGCUGAGAAGCCUAGGUGAAAUAUAUUGUUUAAUGAUGAUAUGGAUAAAACCAAGUAUUGGAGAACUGCAGAUACAUGUGGCAGUAAGCUUACAUGACACCACGGGAAGUGAGGAGAGUGGGAGAUGUUUUUCUAGAUGGUCUGAUGAGCAUAAAGCAAAACAGUGAACAGUGGGUAAGUUUAGUAAAUCCAAUGGUUAAAUGGACUUAUGGAUACUGUUAUUUAAAAUAAACAAACAAAACAACAAAGAAUUUAGUCUAGGAAAGAAGCAACCAGUUAGGUGAUGAAAGCCUCUUUAUCUUUCCCAAAGUUUGUUGUUGGUUUUUUUUUUUUAAUUUGUCUAAGAGUUAAUAUUUCUUUCACAGUGUGAUUCGAAAGUAAGAUACUUAUGUUUAGGAGACAAUGUAUUGACAUCAAUGCAGGGCUUUUUAUUGACUUAAGUACACUUCAAAUAGGAAGUUCUGUUGGUUCUUCUGGAAGGAAAACUGUGUUGUUUUUGCAAGAGUCUGAUACACACUAAUUCUUCUAAGUCCUCACUAAGUCUUCAUUUGUAGGUGUCUACUCAGAAGCAAGUUGUUGCACUUUUGAAGAAUAUGAGUGUGGUGUGCAGUUUUAGCAUGUUGUGCAUUCAUCAGACUUUGAAAGUAAAUUUUUGGCACAUUCCAAGCAAGUGUGAGUAGAGUGAAGUACAGAAAAUUCAGAAAAGGUCUCUCUUUGCUAAUGUUAUUUACUGUGUUCUAAACUAGAGGGAACAAAAAAUGCCAUUCUUAUAAAAUUGACAGAACUUGUGAAGCAUACUUUGUGUUCACAUGGAUUAGAAAAUGUGGUAGGUACCAUUUUCAGAAUUGAUUCGUUUUAUAUUCUAGUCUGUAACUGAAUGCAUUUACAGAUCUCUCUUACACUUUCUUUUUAUACUGCUCUGCUAGAGAGGACUUAUUCAAAGCAAGCCAGUUACUAUCCACUGCAACUCACUAUGUUUUCUGGUCAGAAUUCUGUUUUCAUUAUUUUAUGCAAGAGAAACCAAGAGCAUCAUGACAUUUUUUGAAAUAAAAAUAAACUGGGAAUAAAAAAAAAAAAAGCCUUGGAGAUUCCCUUUUUAGGAGAACAACCAAACUCCCACCAGCUAUUGAAUGAUUUCUUCAAAUAGCAGCAUAAUUCUAGCAUUUAAAAAUACUACUGUGAUCACAUCCUGUGUAUGUAUUUAUAAUAAUAUUCAAAUCUCUGAAUUCUGAGGGAAGCAGUCUCCAGAUGCACUUGCAAGCAGUCUUCCUUUGAAAGACUGUCUUUUUGGAUGCAAAGCACGGUGUGAGGACUUAGUCUCACAGAAAUGCUUUGGGUUGCAUUGCUGGAACAGCUCUGAAGAAGAUACGUGUAAGUAUCCUGUUCUUCUACUAAGUCCUGGAUAUCGCUGUUCAUCUACGGAGUGGUGACUUGGAAUAUAUUAAAGGUAAAAGCAGCUCAUUGUGUUAGAUCAUGUGAGAUAAUCAGAACAAAGCUAUCCAUGAAACCAUCCAGCUGCAGGUAGAUGCGAUGGAACAGCUUGGAAUAGUCUGGAUGAGUCUGGAUCUGCAUGGAUCUGCAUGUUUUUUGAUAGCUUAUGUAAUAACAACAGCCAGUGAAGAUACACAGACAGGCAGUUCCAUUGACUUCACUGCAAGAGACAGCACAGCUGAGGGAGGCUGGAGAAGUUAGAAAGGGAGUGAAGGGUCCAUGCUGGUGUGAGAGCAGAAAGAAACUAGUUAAGCAAGCAAGAUGUGGAGAAAUUAUAUUAAACAUUACAAGGUUCUCUUUGUUGGAAAGUGAGGCUGAAGGUUAGUCUUUAAGAAGAGAUUCCAUUCCUUUCAUUGCUGAGCUGUUUUCAAAGCUGAUGGAAGUGUUGUACUUGCGCUGUUGACCCAAGGAAUGUUGAUGAAGGGAUCUCACUGGAAAACUAGCACACUUGAAACUGCUGGAACACAAUGCCAAAAGCACUAGGAUGGGAACUGUUUCCAAGCUUAUUUAAUUAUAUUUGUUUAAGUUUUGGAUAUGCAUCAUAUAUGUCUUUUUCUGCUUGGUCUCUGGAGAGUUUUGCUUUAUGAGCUGAGAAAAUGUCACUUCUAACUACAGAAAAUUCAUUAAAAAUGUAUUGAAGUAUUCUCUUUUUCAGAUAACAAGAAGCUGGAUAAAGAGCUCCUAACUCUGAAGAGUCAUGCACAACAGUGAGAGAGCAUGCAAAACAGCUCAAACAACUCGGGUCUCCCUGGUGUUGUAUAUGCUUUUCUUUAAAACGAAACAAACAAGCAAAAAACAACCAACCAAACAAAAUGCCUAAUAUUACAGGCUGAGAGGAGUUUAAACUUGUCAGCAGCACAGUGGGUCAUCCUUCAAGCAUAAGAGCAGCAAAAGCCAUCCCACAGUGAGAAAUUGGCAACGAAAUUCGCCAUUCCAGAAAAAGAAGCAUCAACAUAGAGAAAGAAGAAAAAUAUUCUGUGUCAUACUUGGUGAAAUGUGAUGUAGAUAUAAAUUUAGAACAUGCCAAGUCUUCUAAAAAAUCCCAUCUGGCUUAAGGUGACCUCUGCCUCGGGGAGCUGAAUGCAUUGCAGAGACCCUCAGGUGGCAUGGGACACUGAGGAGAUGUCCACCGGCUGCAAUGCAAACAUGGUGACAUCCUAAGUCUCACCACAGCACUUUGCCUUUUUGCUAGACUAAAUAUGGAUGGAUGGAUGUACCUCUAGCUACUCUACAAUCAAUCCUGAGGAGAAUGAAAGUCAAUGAGUCCCACUCAAAAACGAACAUGAAAAAUUCUAUUUCUUCUGUUUAUUUGAACCCUUCCUUCAUCUGGCAUCAGAAGGGAAUAUAUUUAAGUCAGGAGCUGAUCUGUAUCAGUGAUGUGAAGAAAAUGUGCUGCUAGGAAAGCACAUAGCAGCCAAGAAUUGACACAGCUGAUAUCUAAAGGGUGGUAAGCAAGUCAGUAAGACUGUGAACUGACUAAAUUACACAGAUCUGUGAGAUGCUGAAUCUGGAUUAUCACUCUCGGGGUUUAUCACUGUUUAACUUUGCAGAUCAACUUCCAAUUCACUUGAAAGUCAACUGCCCUCACACAGUCCUCCAUAGUAUCAUGUCAAUAUAAGUUUAUGUACAGAAGUAAAAAUUUACUGGGUGUACCUACUGGAUAGGAUGUGCUGAUAGAAUCUUGUUUUGGGGAAAAGAGGUAGAUAUAAAGGUUAAGUCAUGCCAUCAGGAUGAGUUAGGUUAGAUACUUUCAGCAACAUGAAGACUUUCAAAUCUGUCCUCUCCUAGGGAAAAGCCUUCCUGGGCAUAAGAUAUCUCUUCUGUUAGAUCUGUUCCUUUGUGCAAGAGCAAACUAAAGGUUUAAGGAUGUCAGAGCAGAAAGAAAUAGUUGGACUUUUGGUGUCAGUUUUGCAGGUAGAGUGAGCUGUCUUUCUCCAGACUUCAUGCUGGCUGAUGUUGAGCCAGGUCAAAGUCAAAACCCAAGGCUAGUAAAUAAUCUGAAGGGCAGGAUUUAUUAGGUUGGGCCCAUUGCCAAGUCAAGGAAACAUAGAAUCACAGAAUGGCCUGGAUUGAAAAGGACCACAAUGAUUAUUGAGUUUCAACCCCCCUGCUAUGUGCAGGAUCGCCAACCACCAGACCAGGCUGCCCAGAGCCACAUCCAGCCUGGCCUUGAAUGCCUCCAGGGAUGGGGCAUCCACAACCUCCUUUGACUACCUGUUCCAGUGUGUCACCACCCUCUGUGUGAAAAAUGUCCUUCUAAUAUCUAACCUAAACUUCCCCUGUCUCAGUUUAAUACCUUUCCCACUUGUCCUAUCAAUAUCCACCUUCGUAAACAGCCAUGUCACCUCCUGUUUAUAUGCUGCCUUCAAGUUCUGGAGGGCCACAAUGAGGUCUCCCCAGAGCCUUCUCCAAGUCCAGUUCCCUCAAUCUUUCUUCAUUGGAGAGGUGCUCCAGCCCUCUGAUCAUCUUAGUGGCCCUCCUCUGGACCUACUCCAAGAGCUUCACAUCCUUCCUGUACUGGGGGCCCCAGACCUGAAUGCAGUACUCCAGACGGGGCCUCACAAGAGCUGAGCAGACACCUAACUUGUGGAAACAACGGGAAGGCACACUCGUUGAAGAAUGAGGACACCUAGCUUUAGGGCGUCUCAGGAGAAGGUCUUAGGUUCCAGUCAGCAAGCUUAUUUCUAGGUUUGUAUCUCCUCCCUUGUCUGUGUCACAUAAAUCAUAGUGAGUUUGAAUUGAUUUAAGCAUGAACAGAACUCUACUGUGGCAGCAGGCAGUUUGAAUUUCCCUUUUUUUGUGAUAGUGAUAUCACUAUUCACCUUUCAAGUAUUUAUAGUUUUACAAGUUAAUUACUUAUUUUCAGGUCAUGUCACAUAUUCUACAUUGACUGCAAAUUGAUCUUUUUCUUGAUGUGCAACCCAAACUUUUAAAAAUAAAGCUAUUGCAGAGUUUUAUUCCAAGACAUUAUCUCCUCACUUAGAGGUAGCAUAUACAGUACAUUGCCAUGUUUUUCUUUCAUGAUCAAUUUAGGUCAUUAAAUUGUUGUAUAUUUAGUUGAUGUUUUCAGGAGCAGAUUAUUUUCUUUUAGACUUACACAUUUUUGUAAAACAGUGGGAAAUCCUAACAUGCAAAAUAUUAGUACGUGCUUUUCUUUUCAAAUGUUGUGAGCAUUACCAUUCCAUUAAUAACCCAAUUUUCCCUUUGAGUUAAUAUGUAGUCAAAUAUUUCCACUAAGGACGUUUUUAUUUUAUCAUUCAGAAAGUGAAUGUAUUUAAAUUUGACUGGCAAUUACAGGUAGUGAAUGGAAGUUAAAUAUUUGAGUGUUUGCCUAAUUUAGUUUGAUUAAUCUCAUCUUCUUUGCUACUAAGUAAUAGCUUGAGCAACCAUCAAGACAAAAAGUGCAUGACAGGCUCAUAGGCUCAUGUAUUGUGUUGGUAUACUAAUUUAGGCUGUGUCUACAUCUUCCAUCAGGAAACAAGGAGAGAUUCCAGCUACUGAACUCAGUAACUUUAAAAUGCUAUUUAUUUUUAGUAGGAAACUCCAGGAAAUAUAUAAAUGCACAUUCAAUCUCACUUUGCAAUUUCUCCGUGUUCAGUAGCAUGUUAUCAUGUUAUCAUGUGACAUCUCCUCAAAUAUCAUGGAAUUCCACACAUACGCAUUCCUCAUGAAACUGUGUUCAUCUACACUAGUUAUUUAUACUGAAGGUUCAGAAUAUUUGCAACUGUUGAAACCAUCUUCUUAUCUUUAGUAUAUAGGUAUACUGACAUAUAUUCAAAGUAUGUAUUCCAAUUGUCAAAUCCAAAUCACAGCAUCAUGUGAGCCUCUGUGAAGAAAAUUGGCUCUAUCUCAGCCAAUGCCAUGAUAACUGUUUGCAAACCCAGUGACCCACUUUCUAUUUGGAAUAAUAGAACAGAAGUGUUUAAAAAUAUUAUUUGUUCAUCUGCCUUGCAGAAGGAUGAGUCAGGAAGAAAUGGUUAUUCGGUACACAGCAUUUAAAAAGGAAAAGCUAAUAUGAUAUGACAAAUUAUGUGUAGAACUGGAAUGAUGAAGUAAUUGAUCUUCUGGAGAUUAGUUUAAUUGUUGCUUUUUGUCUUUCAUAUGCAAAUAGGCAACUGCUUGUAUUAUAAAAUGUUUUGCAGCUCAGAAAAGAACUUAGCUGCCUUGCUAGCAGAGUUCAGCAAAAUGUCACCUUCUCAUUGCAAGGUAUUUUUGUAAGCAGAGUCUAGCAAAAGUAACUAUUAUCACUGCUUAGGCUUCAUAUUCCUACCUAUCUGAAAUUGAAAGAAAUAGUGCUUGCAAUUCAGAUCUUGCUAUGGAAACAAAUGUAUUUUUAAUUCACUAGAUAGAGAAAGUCUAACUCAGGAUGAUGCCACCUACUUUAUCAGUAUGUUCAAAAUCUGUGUAGAUUCAUAUGGAACGUACUUACUGUUGUUUUAAGUAAUUGUUACCAUCCGUAAGGGCCUUUGAGCAAGGGUAAGUGUACCUAAAGACAGUAAGCAUUUCAGGAAUUAAGGAUGUUAACAUUUUCUUAAAAAACUUUUCUUUUUGUGCUCAUGCAACCGUCUAUCACAAUGGGUAAUGUGUUUGUAUCACUUUCUGUUCCAAAAAAACUCUUUUUUCCUAUUUCCUUGAUAUGCUAAAAAAAAAAAAAAAAAAAAAAAGGAUAUUAGCUUGCAAGAAAGAACGAUCUUUUUAGAUCUAUUUCUAUAAGGAACAAUGUUGCCUCAGUUUUCUGUUUAUUUUGCUCCUCAGCUCCUUGCUUCCCUCUUUUUGUUAAGAAAACAUUUGCAAAUGGAAAAAAAAAAAAAAAGCUGGAAAGAAAAACAAAGGUCAAGCAGUAGAAUCUCUCCAAUUCAGCUCCUAUCAAUGUUUAUGAUAUCCUAUAGUGUAUGUCAGCCCAAGGUGGACCAUGGACCAUGCCAGUUUAUCUGCGGGCCUCCAAAUUGAACUGACAAACCUAAUGUUCACCCUCAACAUUGUCCACAUAUUUAUAUUGGAUGCACAUGAUACUGAGAAUUUGCUUGUUUUAAAAGGAAUAGAGAGGGUGAAGACAAAACAAGCAAUAAAUUAUCUUGUCUGUGCUGUGUCCUUAAAACUGUUCUAUAAUACUAUCUCUAAAGGAUGUAAAAGUCCCCUGUAGAUUGCAGUGACUUUUUGCAUUGACAGUUCUGUUAAACCUUUGUCAGGUUUCAUGCCAUACACUAUAACCAAGCACUUACAUGCUAAGUUUAAAUGUAUUCCUCCUCCUAAUAAUAAAGAAUUUAUAAAAAGAAGUCAGAACCCUUUGCUAAGCAGAUAACUAUACUUUCCCUCUCUUAAAUCUAAUGUAAUAAAACUUUUUUAUUAUUAUUAUUAUUUUGUUUGCUUCUUAGUAUUUCAAUAAAAUGUUGUUCCUUGUUGGAACUAAAGAUAUCAAUUUUCUUGUGUCUCGUGUAGAUUAUCUGCUGCCAUGGAUUGAGAUCAUAACACACUGUGUGGCUCAGCAUUUGCUUCUCUCUCUCUCUGGUCAUCUAUAGUUACAGAACAUAAUGUCCUCUUGAAAUUACUGAAAAAAUACUGAGAUAUAAUUAAAAACAUAAAAGUAUCAGAAUAUUUUUAAGGUGUUAAAGACAAGAUAUAUUUUACUGUCUUUAUGGUAUUGAAGACAGUACCUUCAAGUGCCUACCUCUUAUAUCUGUCUGAUAAAUGGCAGUGGUUUCAAAAGUCAAGAGAAAGAGACGUAGGCAAAUAUAUAUUUUCACACACAGGCUUGAGUCCCUAGUAAAUUAAAACAUAAUUUCCUUGAGGCAAUGACCAAGCAUGGGUAAUUUCAGUUUGUCAGUUAAGCAUAGCAAAAUCUGUGACACAGCUUAAUACCAUCUUUUUUAAUUUCAGCACUGAGCCUGGCUGUAAGUUCAUCUGAAAAGAUAGAAAGGUGUAUCUUAAAGAAAUAAUAGAAAUGCAUGUUUAGGGGCACUAAAUUGCAUUUGCCAUUGUUAGUUAAUUUUCAGCUUGGGCAUGUGCUCAGUAAAAUGCAUUGUCAGAACAUAAAGACAUAGACACAACUUCAGAGGGGGAAAAAGCUACUAUGUGUGCAUACAGAGCCUGUGAUGUCUUUAAUCUUAGGAAUUACUGAUUUUUUUGGGGCAUGCUAUCAAGAGCUCUUCAUUAAACACUUGUAAAUUUUAAUUUCUUUUUUUUCCCCUCAUCUCUGAUAUUUAAUUGAAUGACAGGUGGCAAUAGAAGUGUAAGGUACAGACUUUCUUGGCAGUCUUUUAGGGUUGCUGGAAGCUAUGGUGAGGUGGAAAGUGUUAUUCACUGCCAUGACACAGGAGGUUCCUGCCUCUCUUAUUCACAGCACUUCACUGAAAAUCCUGUUUCUUCUCCCUCAGGGUUUGGGAUUAGCUAGUCAAAGAGCCUUUUUGCUGUGGAGGCUUAAUAAAUUUCUGCCUUUCCUCAGGGAGAAAAUAAUGUCAGGUGUGGGUGAAGAGACGAACAUGUGAAAUGUGAAGUCUUGGAAAGAAUAAAGUGAUUAGUUCCUCAUUAAAGGGCCAGAGAGAGAUGCUGUAACUAUAGCAACCACUGCUAUAUGAACCUCUACCCACCUCCCUGUAACCCACUUAGUUACAAAGAAAAUUUCAAUCUGUUGUUAUUUGUUUGUAGAACUCUUUCCCUAAUGAAAUGGUCACAGUGUAAAUGAUGUAUAAUAUGCAAAUAUAUGUAUUUAUAUGUAUUUGUAUACACACAUAUCUAGAUGCAGAAAAAAAUGAAUUUGCUUGUGAUUAGCCAGACAGAUGGGUAUAUCCACCCAUAUAAAUACCCAUCACCCCUCAUUUUAAAUCUUUUUUUCUUCAUGACUAAUGGAAAAGAAAUGCCUUAAUGACUCAGAAACUACAUUAAUAUUUAAGAAUACGUGUAUCUCUUAGCAUAUAUCCAUUCUCUGAAGCACUACCUGUUUUA